rnacentral:rRNA from 1 species
GACGAACGCUGGCGGCGUGCUUAACACAUGCAAGUCGAACGGAAAGGCCCUGCUUUUGUGGGGUGCUCGAGUGGCGAACGGGUGAGUAACACGUGAGUAACCUGCCCUUGACUUUGGGAUAACUUCAGGAAACUGGGGCUAAUACCGGAUAGGAGCUCCUGCUGCAUGGUGGGGGUUGGAAAGUUUCGGCGGUUGGGGAUGGACUCGCGGCUUAUCAGCUUGUUGGUGGGGUAGUGGCUUACCAAGGCUUUGACGGGUAGCCGGCCUGAGAGGGUGACCGGCCACAUUGGGACUGAGCUGCGGCCCAGACUCCUACGGGAGGCAGCAGUGGGGAAUAUUGCACAAUGGGCGGAAGCCUGAUGCAGCAACGCCGCGUGCGGGAUGACGGCCUUCGGGUUGUAAGCCGCUUUCGCCUGUGACGAAGCGUGAGUGACGGUAAUGGGUAAAGAAGCACCGGCUAACUACGUG